AUGGGUGUUGAUGGAUUUUUUUUGCUAUAUAUUUAUGGUUGCUUACUUGUUUUCUUAGAUGAUGAUCUAAACUUAAUGGAUAUUGAAAGGAAUGACUUUACAGAUUGCUGUGGCCUCUUUUUCUUGUUCUCAUAUGAUGUCUUAAAGUUGAUUGGUGCAGAUGGAUUUUGCUUGCUAUAUUCUUAUGGUUUCUUUUUUAUUUUUUCUGAAGAUGA
rnacentral:lncRNA from 1 species